rnacentral:rRNA from 1 species
UGGGGAAUUUUGGACAAUGGGGGAAACCCUGAUCCAGCCAUCCCGCGUGUGCGAUGAAGGCCUUCGGGUUGUAAAGCACUUUUGGCAGGAAAGAAACGUCAUGGGUUAAUACCCCGUGAAACUGACGGUACCUGCAGAAUAAGCACCGGCUAACUACGUGCCAGCAGCCGCGGUAAUACGUAGGGUGCAAGCGUUAAUCGGAAUUACUGGGCGUAAAGCGUGCGCAGGCGGUUCGGAAAGAAAGAUGUGAAAUCCCAGAGCUCAACUUUGGAACUGCAUUUUUAACUACCGGGCUAGAGUGUGUCAGAGGGAGGUGGAAUUCCGCGUGUAGCAGUGAAAUGCGUAGAUAUGCGGAGGAACACCGAUGGCGAAGGCAGCCUCCUGGGAUAACACUGACGCUAAUGCACGAAGGCGUGGGGAGCAAACAGG